rnacentral:tRNA from 1 species
GAGCGUAUAACUCAGUGGUAGAGUGCGUGCUUAGCAUGCAUGAGGUCCUGGGUUCAAUCCCCAGUACCUCCA